UACGUAGGGUGCAAGCGUUGUCCGGAAUUAUUGGGCGUAAAGAGCUCGUAGGCGGUCUGUCGCGUCUGCUGUGAAACUCGGGGCUAACCCGGCUGCAGUGGGUACGGGCAGACUGGAGUACUGCAGGGGAGACUGGAAUUCCUGGUGUAGCGGUGGAAUGCGCAGAUAUCAGGAGGAACACCGGUGGCGAAGGCGGGUCUCUGGGCCGAUACUGACGCUGAGGAGCGAAAGCGUGGGGAGCGAACAGG
rnacentral:rRNA from 1 species